GAUGAACGCUAGCGGCAGGCUUAAUACAUGCAAGUCGAGGGGUAGCAAGAUUGUAGCAAUACAAUUGUUGACGACCGGCAAAUGGGUGCGGAACACGUACACAACCUUCCUACAAGUGGGGAAUAGCCCAGAGAAAUUUGGAUUAAUACCCCGUAACAUAGCGAUGUGGCAUCACAUUGCUAUUAUAGCUUCGGCGCUUGUUGAUGGGUGUGCGGCUGAUUAGAUAGUUGGCGGGGUAACGGCCCACCAAGUCUACGAUCAGUAGCUGAUGUGAGAGCAUGAUCAGCCACACGGGCACUGAGACACGGGCCCGACUCCUACGGGAGGCAGCAGUAAGGAAUAUUGGACAAUGGACGCAAGUCUGAUCCAGUCAUGCCGCGUGAAGGAUUAAGGUCCUCUGGAUUGUAAACUUCUUUUAUAAGGGACGAAAAAAGGUCUUUCUAGAUCGUCUGACGGUACCUUAUGAAUAAGCACCGGCUAACUCCGUGCCAGCAGCCGCCGCAGUAA
rnacentral:rRNA from 1 species